GUCUAUGGCCGUAAGAGCCUGCAGGCACCCUGCUUGUCCGAUCACGGACGCUAAGCGGGGUUGGGCCUGGCUAGUACUUGCAUGGGAGACCAUGUAGGAAUGCCAGGUGCUCUAGGCU
ensembl:rRNA 5S_rRNA 5S ribosomal RNA